AGAGCAGCGUGGAAGGACCAGGGCAACUACCCUGACUGUGCGCGACGGCAGAUGUGAAGGGUGAGUUUGUUUCCCUUCCAAGCUUGUCAUUGUCAAUUUCGUAUGGAUGAUGUGUAUAUCCAAACGGUGGAUCUGAAAUUAGAUCAUGUUGGUUCUGUACUCAUUGGGUUCUUGCAUGCAUGUUUACUACUAGCCUAACGCAAAACGUUUUUCCGUCUCAGUAAUAUGCAUUGUUAAUUGAUCUACUGGUGGUUGGUUGAGUGUGCAAUAAAAUAUACGCGUUAGAUGUGUGUUUGGGUACCUAUUUCACUAUUUGUAUAAGGUGGUCUGCAGGAAAUGAUACAGGCUUGUAUGUUUAUACAGGUCGUGUUAGAUGUGUGUUUGAGUACUUAAUUCUGUAAAGUUGUUGGAUAUAUAUGUCUAUACAGAAGCUUCUCAUGUAUGUAUUCCGGUGUCAUAUCUAGUUUGGUAUUUACGCGGUUUACUUUAUUGUAGAAAAAAAAUACAUCAUACGGGUUUUUUUGACUAACUGUCAACGGAUGGACGCUUGACCACCAUGCAAGCCUUCUCUCGCCUUUAAUUUUGUAUGAACUCCUAUUUUGUAGAAAGAAUACACUCAUAGUUAGGUUAGUUGAUUAUGGUUCUGGGUUACUUAAUGUGGUAGUUAGCUUCAUUUUAUGGUUUGAUUAAUGUACACCAAUUAUUUGACAAUAAGAUUAUUUUUUAGUCAAACAAAUUAUUUUUAAAACAUAGGGUAAUUUAUUGGUUUCAAUCAAACUACAUGGCGAGGUAGAAAAGGGAAUAAAAUGAUUGCUUCUAUUGAAAUAAUCACAAGAAAAUGUGAACUCAUCCUUCUUGCUUUUGCCGUCGUUUAUUUCCCUAUCCUUUGUAUAUGAAAAAGUCAAGAUUUUAUAGUUAACGAGGCUUUAAGUAGUGUUUACUGCAUUUCAGGCUAACAGUUUAUUUCUAUCGUAGUGACUUAAACUUGGCUGGCCACAAGAGCUUCUCCCUCAAAACGCCACUCCACAUUCUUGCUGCUGUUGUGCGUGUUCAUCGCCACCGUUUCCUAGCACCUCUCGCUGUCCCACCCUGAACGCUAUUGCUGCUACAAGUGCUAGCAGCUGGAUGCCAAACCACUGCUCCCCGACCACUCGCUGAGAACUUC
rnacentral:lncRNA from 1 species